AACGAACGCUGGCGGCAGGCCUAACACAUGCAAGUCGAGCGGACAUCUUCGGAUGUUAGCGGCGGACGGGUGAGUAACGCGUGGGAACGUGCCCUUUGCUUCGGAAUAGCCUCGGGAAACUGGGAGUAAUACCGGAUGUACCCUUUGGGGGAAAGAUUUAUCGGCAAAGGAUCGGCCCGCGUUGGAUUAGGUAGUUGGUGGGGUAAUGGCCUACCAAGCCGACGAUCCAUAGCUGGUAUGAGAGGAUGAUCAGACACACUGGGGCUGAGACACGGCCCAGACUCCUACGGGAGGCAGCAGUGGGGAAUCGUAGACAAUGGGGGGAACCCUGAUCUAGCCAUGCCGCGUGAGCGAUGAAGGCCUUAGGGUUGUAAAGCUCUUUCACCUGGGAAGAUAAUGACGGUACCCGGAGAAGAAGCCCCGGCUAACUCCGUG
rnacentral:rRNA from 1 species